rnacentral:misc_RNA from 1 species
GAAAUGCGAUAAGUAGUGUGAAUUGCAGAAUUUAGUGAAUCAUCGAAUCUUUGAACGCACAUUGCGCCCGCCAGUAUUCUGGCGGGCAUGCCUGUCCGAGCGUCAUUUCAACCCCUCAAGCCCCGCUUGGUGUUGGGGACCGACCGCCCCCCGGGGCGCCGUCGGCCCUGAAAUGAAGUGGCGGUCCCGCCGUGGAACCUCUGCGUAGUAGCAACGACUCGCACUGGAGACCGGCGGCGGCCACGCCCAACCCAAUCUUUCUCAAGGUUGACCUCGGAUCAGGUAGGAAUACCCGCUGAACUUAA